CUGGCAUCAAGUUGCGGAAUCUCUGGCUAAUCUUUCUCUCUAGUCCCCUCUCCUGUCCUGCGCUGAAUUAGAAGAAGCGCUGUGAAAGCAAGAGGCCGCUUGAAGGGGAGAAACUUAUAAAGGCACACCUGCAAUUUUAAUGCUCGACUUGGCAUCACAGUGUGAGAGUUGAAAACUCGCAAAGCUCUGAAAAUUGAGGAGGUUGCCAAUUUCCUGGACCAGCUUGAGCAGAAGUGGAACAUUAUCUUCGGGCUUCGCGUUAAAUGGCCACUACCCACAAUCUGGAGCCGGGUCACUUCCAACCUGCACGGAGUCCUCUCUCUCGCAGUAUGGAAUACGCACAGCUUGGCACUUCAGUAACCACAUGGUGAAAAUAGCGACUAGUUUGCAUUCUGCAUGAUGGUGUUAACUUCCCCCUCUUUCACAUUUCCACUUUUAUCCCUUUCACUUACUGUAUACUAAUAAACUA